CACUGGGGUGUGUGUGUGUGUAUGUAUAUAUAUAUAUAUAUAUAUAUACACACACACACACACUAAACCAAGUA